AAUGAAAACCCAUGUCCCCAUCAUGUGGGUUCAAUAAUUACAAACUCAUUGCUAAUUUUGGUUUAUCUCUACCUCCAGAGACUUUGCCUCUUAUAAUAUCUGAAGUAAGCCACAGAUGUCAUUUCUUCUACAAAUAUAUUAGUUCACAUCACUAAAAGCUUCAAAGGGUACGAGCAUAGAUUGCUACAUGGAUAUAUUACACAGUGGUGGAGUCUGAGAUGUCUUCUCAAGAAAAGCAAAAAAAUAUAUAAAGGAUACUCUUCAUCAGAACAAUUCUUUUUAUGAAUAAUUUCAUUUACUUGCAAUAACCAAUUAUUAGGAAAUCCCUUUCCAGUGAGCCUGAUCUCACCAAAAUACCAAGAUCUCACCAAAUGGAAUAUGAGCGGAAGUGAUGAAGCAGUGGGCCACAUUUUCUCCAUGGAUGCAAAGGAUCCUUGGUGAUAUCAGAGAUAUGAAAUGGAAGGUAGCUGGAUUUAUGGACCACUGCUUGGGGGAGAUCCAACUACAAUCAGGAAGACUUAUUUAGACCAAACCCAAGCAAGAAAUAAACUUCUAUUCUGAUGAACACUGAGACGUAGGCUCCUGUGUGUUAUAGGAGAUACUAACGACUUAAUGAAUAUAAAUAAAACAGUUACAAAGAGGUGGGGGAAAUUAGUAUCCUGGUUAGUAUUAGAAACUAAGAAAAUCUGAACAUAUUAGUUGUUUCAAACAAAGUAUUUAAUAAAAGUCAAUUAAAGAAUCAAAAUAAAGCAGUAAGAAGUUGAAAGUAUGUGAAGCUGAGAAUAGAAAUCAGAAAAAAUUUUUUAAAGAUGUUAUAUCAAAAUUGAUUGACAUGUAUUGUAAUGUAUUGAUUGAAAAGUGAUAAAAUUGACAAAUUUCUUGCAUGUGUGAGAAAAAGAAAACAGAAGAGGCUUAAAACAUUUUAGGAUAAAAAGGGAGAGCUAAAUGCAGAGGUAGUAGAUAUUGAAAAAAUAUUAACAUCAUAAUAGUAUUUAGUAACUAAAAAUGCUUAAAUGUUUUUAAAAGAAAAAAUAUCGGCCAGGCGCACUGGCUCACGCCUGUAAUCCCAGCACUUUGGGAGGCCGAGGCGGGCGGAUCACGAGGUGAAGAGAUCGAGACCAUCCUGGCC
rnacentral:lncRNA from 1 species